UACGGAGGGUGCAAGCGUUAAUCGGAAUUACUGGGCGUAAAGCGCGCGUAGGUGGUUUGUUAAGUCAGAUGUGAAAGCCCAGGGCUCAACCUUGGAACUGCAUCUGAUACUGGCAGGCUAGAGUAUGGUAGAGGGAGGUAGAAUUCCACGUGUAGCGGUGAAAUGCGUAGAGAUGUGGAGGAAUACCAGUGGCGAAGGCGGCCUCCUGGACCAAUACUGACACUGAGGUGCGAAAGCGUGGGGAGCAAACAGGAUUAGAUACCCGGGUAGUCC
rnacentral:rRNA from 1 species